GCAGAAUCUACGGCAGACAUUUCAGUUGUCCGUUCCAGCUAAGCAGCUUUAAGGAGUUGAAUAAUUGCUUUGCAGAGUCAAGAGGAAGCUGUGGAAGGGAAGACAGAAAGAAUGAACGACUAAAACGGAACAAGCGCCAGAGUGGUGACUCCCUGGCUUGAUUUAUCUGAUGGAAGGAAAUCUGCACAGAGCUCCGGUGGUAUCCCUAUACUGUAACCUUUCCCCCCGCCAGAUGUUCCUCUCUCAAAACACGAAGCGACAAGGACAGUGACACGGCGUUGGGGGACAAGGAAGAGAGACCCAGACGGAGCGAUAGACAGACGGAGUUGGUGCCGCCGAUAACGCCGGUCCCCCUGGAGGAGGAGGCGACUCCUCUUUUCAUUCGCACUCCAGCGUAUUAAUUGCUUUUUAAUGUUUCCCUUCUCUGCUGAAAGUUGUUUUGCGUACUAACAAAUCAACAAUAAUAAGGUUCUUUCGGGCUGUUUGCAGGCCAGAGCCAAGACUAAAAGGGUACAGUCACUGAAUAAUCCAUGCAUUGGAAUGAAGGAUUCGAGCUGGUAACAGAAGAGUUGUAACAGGAGGCCAUUUGGCUUUCUUUCUGCUUCGUCCCAAGUGUCCUCCGCUGCCAGCUGUGCGAAUGUCGCAGAAUGGGACUUUGUGGGAGCGAGACUGGGAAGACGUAAUACUGAAGCAACUAAUACAUCUAACUCAAUGAAGCAUUGUGACAUGCCGCUUCCCCCUUGAGCCACAACUUUGGGCAAAAUUUGAGUUUUUAGCAUUUAUAAUUUAUCCACACAGCUCCGUAUCCCAUGCCUUAGUGCCUCUGCGAAAUAGAUAUGAUGUUAAUCAUUACAAUUUCGAAAAUUAGGAAGGGGAAAUUACAAUAGCUCCUUUUUAUCAACUCACACUGUGACAUGUUUUUAUUGUAGGCUGAAACAUUUUCAGACAAAAGGUUUCAGCCACAUAGAUAUUUUAAUCACUUGGGAUUGGUUUUGCCUCAUCAUUUUUGAUAAUAGCAAGAGCUCUCCUCAUGCAGCAUGAGGGGGACUGUCGGAUUGGUAUAAGAAGUAACAAAUUACGUGAUUAAUUUGUUGCAGGCUUUAGCAGCCCUUUGACGUCUCUGCUCAGUAGCCUACAGCAGAAACAAGAGCUCUCACUGCUUAAGCUGUUAACCUACAACUUGCCGCUGCCCGCAACAUGAUUCCUACUCGUAACACACAAGGGAAGGACAAGCAAGGUAAUAAGACGUAUUUAUAAUUUUGUAAAAAGAAAGAGCUCAUAACUGAACCACAUGGUCAGCAGACUUAAUUAAACCAUUGAAAUAACACAUUUAGCGCUGUCUGUGAUUUGUUUAGGAUAUCUGGUUUAUUCUUCUACAACAUAUGGUCCCAAGAUACGGCGGUUCUUUUUUUUAUUGAUAUUCUUUCGAAAAUAGCAACUCACAAUAGUCAGAAAAGUUACUAUUAUACAAUUAAACAAUGACAUUGAGACCAUUAGGCAAUGUCUUGGUUCUUUUAUAUGCAUGUUGGACUUCUAUACUUCUUCAUACUUCAUCUUCCAACAUAUCUUUAAGCCUAGAAAAUAAAAGUACAGUUUGCUUGGAAAGAACAAGUUUUCAAAUGCGCGGCCAGGCAGCAACAGUGCAUUGAGUGAGGAACGCACAGGGUGCAGGGGGGGGUCAUCAGCGAGUGUUUGGAGCUUGAGUUACAGGGCCAGCAUCUGCCAUCCGGCCAUCAGGCCCUCAUAUCCAUCACUGGCCGAUGGCGUGGUGCAGCCCGGCGUUUAUAAAAACACCCAGAGGAAAUGGAGUCUCUGGGCCAGACAAGAAUAAAAUUAGCUUGAUGACUAAGUUCCUCCUCAGGUCCCGGCGGGAAUAGAACUCUGCCAUUUGUUUUCAUUACUUCCC
ensembl:lncRNA